rnacentral:rRNA from 1 species
ACGCUGGCGGCACGCCUAACACAUGCAAGUCGAACGAAGUAGCAAUACUUAGUGGCAGACGGGUGAGUAACAUGUGGGUAUCUGCCCUUUGGCCUGGAAUAACACGAGGAAACUUGUGCUAAUACCAGAUAAGUCUUUACGGAGAAAGCUUUAUGCACCAUUGGAUGAGCCCGCACUUGAUUAGUUUGUUGGUGGGGUAAUGGCCUACCAAGACUGUGAUCAAUAGCUGAUUUGAGAGGAUGAUCAGCCACAUUGGGACUGAGACACGGCCCAAACUCCUACGGGAGGCAGCAGUGGGGAAUCUUGCACAAUGGAGGAAACUCUGAUGCAGCGAUGCCGCGUGAGUGAAGAAGGCCUUUGGGUUGUAAAGCUCUUUCGUCGGGGAAGAAAAUGACUGUACCCGAAUAAGAAGGUCCGGCUAACUUCGUGCCAGCAGCCGCGGUAAUACGAAGGGACCUAGCGUAGUUCGGAAUUACUGGGCUUAAAGAGUUCGUAGGUGGUUGAAAAAGUUGGUGGUGAAAUCCCAGAGCUUAACUCUGGAACUGCCAUCAAAACUUUUCAGCUAGAGUUUGAUAGAGGAAAGCAGAAUUUCUAGUGUAGAGGUGAAAUUCGUAGAUAUUAGAAAGAAUACCAAUUGCGAAGGCAGCUUUCUGGAUCAUUACUGACACUGAGGAACGAAAGCAUGGGUAGCGAAGAGGAUUAGAUACCCUCGUAGUCCAUGCCGUAAACGAUGUGUGUUAGACGUUGGAAAUUUAUUUUCAGUGUCGCAGCGAAAGCGAUAAACACACCGCCUGGGGAGUACGACC